CUACGUGCCAGCAGCCGCGGUAAUACGUAGGUCCCGAGCGUUGUCCGGAUUUAUUGGGCGUAAAGCGAGCGCAGGCGGUUAGAUAAGUCUGAAGUUAAAGGCUGUGGCUUAACCAUAGUACGCUUUGGAAACUGUUUAACUUGAGUGCAAGAGGGGAGAGUGGAAUUCCAUGUGUAGCGGUGAAAUGCGUAGAUAUAUGGAGGAACACCGGUGGCGAAAGCGGCUCUCUGGCUUGUAACUGACGCUGAGGCUCGAAAGCGUGGGGAGCAAACAGGAUUAGAUACCCUGGUAGUCCACGCCGUAAACGAUGAGUGCUAGGUGUUAGACCCUUUCCGGGGUUUAGUGCCGUAGCUAACGCAUUAAGCACUCCGCCUGGGGAGUACGACCGCAAGGUUGAAACUCAAAGGAAUUGACGGGGGCCCGCACAAGCGGUGGAGCAUGUGGUUUAAUUCGAGGCAACGCGAAGAACCUUACCAGGUCUUGACAUCCCUCUGACCGCUCUAGAGAUAGAGUUUUC
rnacentral:rRNA from 1 species